rnacentral:rRNA from 1 species
AGAGUUUGAUCCUGGCUCAGAACGCUUUCUGGUAGCGUGGAUUGGGCAUGCAAGUCGAACGGGAUCCGGUUGAUAGCAAUAUUGACUGGUGAGAGUGGCGGAUUGGGGAGGAACACGUGAACAACCUGCCCUUGAGUUCGGGAAAACCGUUGGAAACGACGGCUAAUAUCGGAUGUGGCGCCCGGUGACAUCACUGGAGCGCUAAAGGGGGCCGCAAGGCUCUCGCUUGAGGAGGGGUUCGCGCAUCAUCAGCUAGUUGGCGGGGUAACGGCCCACCAAGGCGUACGAUUAGCUGGUCUGAGAGGAUGACCAGCCCCACUGGGACUGAGAUACUGCCCAGACUCCUACGGGAGGCUGCAGUCGAGGAUCAUUUGCAAUGGGCGAAAGCCUGACAAUGCGACGCUGCGUGGAGGAUGAAGGCCUUCGGGUUGUAAACUCCUGUCAUAAGGGAACAGGCGAUGUGACCUAAUACGUCACAAAGUUGAGUGUACUUUAAGAGGAAGCGACGGCUAACUCUGUGCCAGCAGCCGCGGUAAUACAGAGGUCGCAAGCGUUGUUCGGAUUUACUGGGCGUAAAGGGCGCGUAGGCGGUCCCAUGUGUCGGAUGUGAAAUCUCCGGGCUCAACCCGGAAAGUGCGUCCGAAACUGUGGGACUCGAGUCUGGGAGAGGGAAUCGGAAUAUAGGGUGUAGCGGUGAAAUGCGUUGAUAUCCUAUAGAACACCGGAGGCGAAGGCGGAUUCCUUGAACGGUACUGACGCUGAGGCGCGAAAGUCGGGGGAGCAAACAGGAUUAGAUACCCUGGUAGUCCCGACCUUAAACGGUGCA